UCAAUUUCGAACCUAUGCUUGUUCUCUAUUUUUGUUUCAUUUUAGGUUCUAUUCGCUUAUUUUGAUUUUUGCGUGCUUUUUUUGUAAAACAUUUGGGGAGCGUGUUGGAAACAUGAAUUUUAAAAGAUAGAUGGAAACCCCUAUCUGAAGAUGCUGCUCUCUAUCUUUCUAGUCCAAUCCUAGAAAAAAACCACCAAUCGAAAGGCCUAGCAGAGGAGGACUUCUCUUCCCAUCGUCUUUGAGUCGUACCUUGUCGUAGAUACCCCCCUGUCAUCAUUAAUCUUCAGUUCAAAGGCCAAACUGAAACGCCAUCGCCAUUGUCUGAAAGAAAUCAUCGGAGUUGAUAUCAGUUCAACAUUCUAAGGUUCUAAGAGGAAAUUGUUAACAUGGAGGGUAUUGAAGAUGUAUACUUUGGAUUUUGACGAAGACUUUUAGACAUCAUAGAGCGAAAUGAUUUUUUUGUUAUAUUUUUUGUUGGUUUUUGGACUAUCCAUUAUGGAUCUAUGAUCUAAAAGUUACAGUUGUAUAUAUAAACAUUUUAUGAUAAAUUUGUUUUAUAUGAAAAUGGUUUAUUGGUUACAUUUCAUAA